ensembl:snRNA U6 U6 spliceosomal RNA
GUGCUCACUUUGGCAGCACAUAUAGUAAGAUUGGAACGAUACAGAGAAGACUAGCCUGGCCCCUGCAUGGAUGACAUGCAAAUUCCUGAAGCGUUUCAUUUUUUU